GAAACAGACUCAGAAGGAAGUGAUGGUGAAUUCUCUCAGCAGCUCCAACCUCCAGAUCUCAACACUCGCUGUCGCGGCGACGGGGGUCUCAGCAACUUCAGGUCACUCUGAAACCGCUGGCUGAAAGCUCGUAUAAUUCCUCUGGUGAAGAGAGUGAAAACGAGGGCUUCUGCCCCCUAACAGAAGGCACAACGAGCGCAGGAGAAUGUCUUGGCAUCACAACCAAUAGCGAGUGUAGUUAUAGCUCUGACAAUAACUAUGAACACUUUGAUAAUGAUAGCCCGUUUGCUUGGGAACUUGAACAGUCUCCAACUGUGAUUCUUAGUCCUAGCUGUGCAGCCUCUGACAAAGUGAGUUGUACGAUGUGGGAGAAACGAGAAAUAAAAAAGCUGAUCUCUCUGUCUUAGAUAUAAGUUCUGCAAUCAUAGCGAGAGUCGAAGCUAUGCCUGAGCAUUUAGAUUAUUUCUACGGAGGUUUAGUAAUAUCUGUAGUCCUGGCAGCAGUGCCUUCGUUGUGCCGUCUAAUGGAGUCGUUGAAUGAUACACUAGCUGCACCUCAAAUAACAGUUGAGCUGUCGUCAUUAGAUACUCAGUCAUUUUUAGAAAGUGCUUACAGUUUUUUGUCAGCAGCUGUAGUAUCUUUAAUCAAUUCGGCAUUUGGAACACUGUUUGGUACGUAUAAUUCAAUAUCCAACAAGGAUAGAGUAUUGAAAAU
rnacentral:lncRNA from 1 species